AGGACGAACGCUGGCGGCGUGCUUAACACAUGCAAGUCGAACGGUAAGGCCCUUUCGGGGGUACACGAGUGGCGAACGGGUGAGUAACACGUGGGUGACCUGCCCCUUACUCUGGGAUAAGCCUGGGAAACUGGGUCUAAUACCGGAUAGGACUUCAUGCUGCAUGGUGUGGGGUUGAAAGCCAGUUACUUUUGUUCUGGCGGUGGGGGAUGGGCCUGCGGCCUAUCAGCUUGUUGGUGGGGUGAUGGCCUACCAAGGCUUCGACGGGUA
rnacentral:rRNA from 1 species